rnacentral:rRNA from 1 species
GACGAACGCUGGCGGCGUGCUUAACACAUGCAAGUUGAGCGAUGAAGUUCCUUCGGGAAUGGAUUAGCGGCGGACGGGUGAGUAACACGUGGGUAACCUGCAUCAUAGAGGGGAAUAGCCUUUCGAAAGGAAGAUUAAUACCGCAUAAGAAUGUAGUAUCGCAUGAUACAGCAAUUAAAGGAGUAAUGUGCUAUGAGAUGGACCCGCGUCACAUUAGCGAGUUGGUGAGGUAACGGAUCACCAAGGAGACGAUGCGUAGCCGACCUGAGAGGGUGAUCGGCCACAUUGGGACUGAGACACGGCCCAGACUGCUACGGGAGGCAGCAGUGGGGAAUAUUGCACAAUGGGGGAAACCCUGAUGCAGCAACGCCGCGUGAGUGAUGACGGUCUUCGGAUUGUAAAACUCUGUCUUCAGGGACGAUAAUGACGGUACCUGAGGAGGAAGCCACGGCUAACUACGUGCCAUCCGCCGCCGUAA